AUGGAGCCAUGGCUGAGCUGGGUUUUUCUUGUUGUUGUUUUAAAAGGUGUCCAGUGUGAGGUGCAGCUGGUGGAGUCUGGGGGAGGCUUGGUCCAGCCUGGGGGGUCCCUGAGACUCUCCUGUGUAGCCUCUGGAUUCACCUUCAGGAGUUAUGACAUGAGCUGGGUCCGCCAGGCUCCAGGGAAGGGGCUGGAGUGGGUCUCAUACAUUAGUAGUGGUGGUAGCACAUACUACCCAGACUCUGUGAAGGGCCGAUUCACCAUCUCCAGAGACAACGCCAAGAACUCGCUAUAUCUUCAAAUGAACAGCCUGAGAGCCGAGGACACGGCCGUGUAUUACUGUGCGAGAGACACAAUUAGUGAUUCUUGGAGAACUAGAGAUAUUGAGUGGGAGUGA